rnacentral:rRNA from 1 species
UACGGAGGGGGCUAGCGUUGUUCGGAAUUACUGGGCGUAAAGCGCACGUAGGCGGCUUUGCAAGUCAGAGGUGAAAGCCCAGGGCUUAACCCUGGAAUUGCCUUUAAGACUGCAUCGCUAGAAUCGUGGAGAGGUGAGUGGAAUUCCGAGUGUAGAGGUGAAAUUCGUAGAUAUUCGGAAGAACACCAGUGGCGAAGGCGACUCACUGGACACGUAUUGACGCUGAGGUGCGAAAGCGUGGGGAGCAAACAGG